rnacentral:lncRNA from 1 species
GUGAAUGGUGAAAUCACUCUUUGAGUAGAUGGGAUGCAUGAAAUAAUAAAUUGCGCUCAGAUCUGAUACAAUACGAGGGGGAAUUGGAGAUUGAGAAAAAACGAGACUUGGUGAAAAUGAUUCAAAAAGAGAAGUGUACACAUCACAUGCAGACUCAAACACAGUAUAUCAAAAAAAGAUUUCAAAGUUCAAACAGCUGUGAAUCCAUAUAAUACGUCUUCCUGCUAAUUAAAAUUAUGAAAUGACUUGAAACUGUGAAUCCAAAUAUGUCAAUAAAGAUUAAUUACUGAUUUGAAAGGAGAUAAAUGUAACACGUGGUUUGUUUGUUUCAUUACCAAAAACUUGUAUAUGGUUCUCAUUCCAGUCCCUUAAAGUAUUACAACCAAUGUCGAUUCUUUCUAUUAUCCCCCUUAGUGAGAUCCAUCAAAUAUGCCAACCACACAUUCAAUUACCUCUCACCUACUAAAGAGAUUGAAAUACAAUUCUAAUUCAUUUACUGUAUAUAGUAAAUUUUUAGGCCCCAUAAGCAAAAAUGAGCAUUUGGUGGGUGUAAUUUAUAACUAUUCCAUCAACCUCUUGUCAAUCCCCAUCAAAAUAUCCAUUAACGUUUUCCUUAUCUUUUGAACUUCAAUUGUAUACUGAAUGAACAUGUCAAGGUUAGGGUCCUUAUACAGGAGCAUUAAUCAGUAUCCCUGUUUUUCUGUCUUUGAAAUCAUUGCGCACUCCAUUUAAUAGCUAGCCCUCUCAAUAACAGCAGUAGAUGUCCAAGUUUGACAGAACACCAUUUUUAACACCUUAGCAAGGUUCACAAGUCAGUCCUAUGUAAAUAUCCCAACAAAAUAUCCUAGAAUCCCUUUACUGAUUGGUUUGUAAAGACUAGUAAGGUUGCACAAGUUUGUUCACUGGAGAUGCAUACAUUAGAUGCAAUGCAACCAAGAUUAAUUAGAAGUAAAUACAACUCUCAAAAUCCAAAUUGUAACAGAACAUAUCAAGUAUGAAUCUUAUCAUAGCCACACAGCUUCAACAAGGAAAUCGAGGUGUACAAGUGGUUAUCAAAGUUGUAAGUAUUAUAGAAAAGUAAGUCUUCUGAAGACCUAGUAAACUCAGUAUACCCUGUAACCCUGAUAAGAUUAACGUACCUGUAGCCAUUGCAGUAGAUAAACAUUUUCUGACUCAUUCUUCUUCUUCUUAGCUUUCAUUUCACUGACUCCAAAUUGGCGAUUUGAAAAUCCAUGGCUUAUGGCCCAAUAUGUGGGAUGGAAGCUAACCACUAUUCCAAUCUCCUGCUUCCAUCCCAUAGGUUGGGCCCAGGCGAUGGAUUGUGAAAUCGUCCGUUGGGUUGUUUGGAAUGCAUGGAAGAUUAGGUACAAAUAGAAGUAUUCCAAUGCAGAGGCAGUUCUUCAAACGAGCACGAGAGGAAGGGAAACUCUUCGACAAAAUGGGACCUGGAUGAAUAUGAAACAAAGGAAGGUGGAGAAAUGUACAGAGAGUCAAAUAAGAGUUGAAACUGUGAAUCCAAUUUGGAUUUUCCAAGUAUGUGAAAAAAAGAUUAAUAACAGAUUAUAAUAGAGAUAAAACUAAAUAUAGUUUUGAUUCCAGUCUUGUUAUUCAAAUUUUCCAUCAAAGAUACCAAUCACUUGAAGCUUUCAAGUUUCAACCACCACUCACACCAAAGAGAUUGAAUCACACAUUCAAGCACCUACUCACUUACUAAAGAGAUUGAAAUACUUUGGUGAUUCAUCACUAUAAUGUUGAGUUAAUUCACUUUUUUUUUCCCUUAAAAUUUGACUCGUAUUUGUAAUUAUUUAUGAUGAUGACAAUUAAAACAACCCAAUACCAAAUUUUAGAAAAACAAAAUUAAUGCAAUUUCACUGCUUACUGCUUUUCAAGAUCAAUUCCCCUUCAUAUCAGAAUUUCAUUACAAUAAAGGUUAAAACUUGGAAGCUAACUGAGCUGUGUGUCUGAAAAAAAAAAAAACAAAGAGUGAAUGAGAUGCAAGAAAACUACAACCUGUUAAUUGAUGUCUGGAACCCAGAUUGAUUGAUUGAUUAGAAGCAAAUGGAAAAAAAAAACCCAGAAAGUAUAAAGUAUGAAUCAUUCAUACCAUAGCUGACUAGUUAAAAAAAAAAAAAAAAAAAAAAAAAUUCAUACCAUAGCUGAAGCCAUAAAGAUGUAUAUAAACGCUUUUUGGACUCAUUCUUCUUCUUGUUGUUGUUGUGUAGCUUUCAUUUCACUAUGAGAGUCCAAAUCGGAGAUUUUUCACUGCACCGAUUUUGGCCAAACAUGUGCAUGGGAUGGAAGGAAGCCAUAGCCAUAGGCAUCCACUGAUCAUCCCAUGCAUAUACUAGGUUCGGCCAAAGCGAUGCAGUGUAAAAUCGUCCUUUGGGUAGUAUGGUCUGUGAUGUAUCAUGCAAUGAGAUAAGCGAUCGAGGUGCACUUCAGAAUUUUAAUGUGUGAUUCAAUCUGUUUGGUAUGGGGUAGUUGUG